UGAGGAAUAUUGGUCAAUGGACGGAAGUCUGAACCAGCCAAGUAGCGUGCAGGAUGACGGCCCUAUGGGUUGUAAACUGCUUUUGUAUGGGGAUAAAGUUAGGGAUGUGUCCCUAUUUGCAGGUACCAUACGAAUAAGGACCGGCUAAUUCCGUGCCAGCAGCCGCAGUAAUACGGAAGGUCCAGGCGUUAUCCGGAUUUAUUGGGUUUAAAGGGAGCGUAGGCCGUGGAUUAAGCGUGUUGUGAAAUGUAGACGCUCAACGUCUGAAUUGCAGCGCGAACUGGUUCACUUGAGUAUGCACAACGUAGGCGGAAUUCGUCGUGUAGCGGUGAAAUGCUUAGAUAUGACGAAGAACUCCGAUUGCGAAGGCAGCUUACGGGAGCACAACUGACGCUGAAGCUCGAAGGUGCGGGUAUCAAACAGGAUUAGAUACCCUGGUAGUCCGCACAGUAAACGAUGGAUGCCCGUUGUUAGUUCACCUAAGAAUUAGCGACCAAGCGAAAGCAUUAAGCAUCCCACCUGGGGAGUACGCCGGCAACGGUG
rnacentral:rRNA from 1 species